rnacentral:rRNA from 1 species
UUAAGUGACUAAGCGUACAUGGUGGAUGCCUUGGCAGUCAGAGGCGAUGAAGGACGUACUAACCUGCGAUAAGCUGUGAGCAGUCGGUAAGAGACAUUACGACUCACAGAUUUCCGAAUGGGGAAACCCACCCAAGAUAACUUGGGUAUCGUUACAUGAAUACAUAGUGUAACGAGGCGAACCGGGAGAACUGAAACAUCUAAGUACCCCGAGGAAAAGAAAUCAACCGAGAUUCCCUCAGUAGCGGCGAGCGAACGGGGAUUAGCCCUUAAGCAUCUUGGAAGUUAGUGGAACGGUCCUGGAAAGGCCGGCGAUACAGGGUGAUAGCCCCGUACACGAAAACAACCUUGAUGUGAAAUCGAGUAGGGCGGGACACGUGACAUCCUGUCUGAAUAUGGGGGGACCAUCCUCCAAGGCUAAAUACUCCUGACUGACCGAUAGUGAACCAGUACCGUGAGGGAAAGGCGAAAAGAACCCCUGUGAGGGGAGUGAAAUAGAACCUGAAACCGUGUACGUACAAGCAGUGGGAGCCCUUCGGGGUGACUGCGUACCUUUUGUAUAAUGGGUCAGCGACUUACAUUUUGUAGCGAGGUUAACCGUAUAGGGGAGCCGUAGGGAAACCGAGUCUUAACUGGGCGUCUAGUUGCAAGGUGUAGACCCGAAACCGGGUGAUCUAGCCAUGGGCAGGUUGAAGGUUGAGUAACAUCAACUGGAGGACCGAACCCACUAACGUUGCAAAGUUAGGGGAUGACCUGUGGCUGGGGGUGAAAGGCCAAUCAAACUCGGAGAUAGCUGGUUCUCCCCGAAAGCUAUUUAGGUAGCGCCUCGGACGAAUACUACUGGGGGUAGAGCACUGUUUGGGCUAGGGGGUCAUCCCGACUUACCAACCCCAUGCAAACUCCGAAUACCAGUAAGUAAUAUCCGGGAGACACACGGCGGGUGCUAACGUCCGUCGUGAAGAGGGAAACAACCCAGACCGCCGGCUAAGGUCCCAAAGUUCUGGUUAAGUGGGAAACGAUGUGGGAAGGCUCAGACAGCUAGGAUGUUGGCUUAGAAGCAGCCAUCAUUUAAAGAAAGCGUAAUAGCUCACUAGUCGAGUCGGCCUGCGCGGAAGAUGUAACGGGGCUCAAACCAGGCACCGAAGCCGCGGAUUCACACUAAGUGUGAGUGGUAGGGGAGCGUUCUGUAAGUCUGCGAAGGUGUGUCGAGAGGCAUGCUGGAGAUAUCAGAAGUGCGAAUGCUGACGUAAGUAACGAUAAAGGGGGUGAAAAGCCUCCUCGCCGGAAGACCAAGGGUUCCUGUCCAACGUUAAUCGGGGCAGGGUGAGUCGACCCCUAAGGCGAGGCCGAAAGGCGUAGUCGAUGGGAAGCAGGUUAAUAUUCCUGCACGACUUGUAAUUGCGAUGGGGGGACGGAGAAGGCUAGGUGGGCCAGGCGACGGUUGUCCUGGUGAAAGUGCGUAGGUGGUGUUUCUAGGCAAAUCCGGAGACACAACACUGAGACACGAGACGAACACACUACGGUGUGGAAGCCAUUGAUGCCCUGCUUCCAGGAAAAGCCUCUAAGCUUCAGAUUACAAGUCAUCGUACCCCAAACCGACACAGGUGGUCGGGUAGAGAAUACCAAGGCGCUUGAGAGAACUCGGGUGAAGGAACUAGGCAAAAUAGAACCGUAACUUCGGGAGAAGGUUCGCUCUUGACAGUGAAGUCCCUUGCGGAUGGAGCAGUUGGGAGUCGCAGUGACCAGAUGGCUGGGACUGUUUAUCAAAAACACAGCACUCUGCAAACACGAAAGUGGACGUAUAGGGUGUGACACCUGCCCGGUGCCGGAAGGUUAAUUGAUGGGGUUAGCGCAAGCGAAGCUCUUGAUCGAAGCCCCGGUAAACGGCGGCCGUAACUAUAACGGUCCUAAGGUAGCGAAAUUCCUUGUCGGGUAAGUUCCGACCUGCACGAAUGGUGUAACCAUGGCCAUGCUGUCUCCACCCGAGACUCAGUGAAAUCGAAUUCGCCGUGAAGAUGCGGUGUACCCGCGGCUAGACGGAAAGACCCCGUGAACCUUUACUACAGCUUGGCACUGAACAUUGAACCUACAUGUGUAGGAUAGGUGGGAGGCUUUGAAGGCGUGACGCCAGUUGCGCUGGAGCCGUCCUUGAAAUACCACCCUUGUAUGUUUGAUGUUCUAACGCAGGCCCCUGAAUCGGGGUCGCGGACAGUGCCUGGUGGGUAGUUUGACUGGGGCGGUCUCCUCCCAAAGAGUAACGGAGGAGCACGAAGGUUGGCUAAUCCUGGUCGGACAUCAGGAGGUUAGUGCAAUGGCAUAAGCCAGCUUAACUGCGAGACGGACAGGUCGAGCAGGUACGAAAGUAGGUCAUAGUGAUCCGGUGGUUCUGAAUGGAAGGGCCAUCGCUCAACGGAUAAAAGGUACUCCGGGGAUAACAGGCUGAUACCGCCCAAGAGUUCAUAUCGACGGCGGUGUUUGGCACCUCGAUGUCGGCUCAUCACAUCCUGGGGCUGAAGUCGGUCCCAAGGGUAUGGCUGUUCGCCAUUUAAAGUGGUACGCGAGCUGGGUUCAGAACGUCGUGAGACAGUUCGGUCCCUAUCUGCCGUGGGCGUUGGAUGAUUGAAGGGAGUUGCUCCUAGUACGAGAGGACCGGAGUGAACGAACCUCUGGUGUUCGGGUUGUCACGCCAGUGGCACUGCCCGGUAGCUAAGUUCGGAAUCGAUAACCGCUGAAAGCAUCUAAGCGGGAAGCGAGCCCUGAGAUGAGUCAUCCCUGACCCCUUGAGGGUCCUAAAGGGCCGUUGGAGACCACAACGUUGAUAGGUGGGGUGUGUAAGCGCGGCGACGUGUUGAGCUAACCCAUACUAAUUACCCGUGAGGCUUAACCA